GACAGAGGGUGCGAACGUUUGUUCGGAAUUACUGGGCGUAAAGCGCGUGUAGGCGGCAGCGCAAGUCGGGCGUGAAAUCCCACGGCUCAACCGUGGAAGUGCACUCGAAACUGCGCAGCUAGAGUCCUGGAGAGGAAGGUGGAAUGCUUGGUGUAGAGGUGAAAUUCGUAGAUAUCAAGCGGAACACCGGUGGCGAAGGCGGCCUUCUGGACAGUGACUGACGCUGAGA
rnacentral:rRNA from 1 species